AUUCUCUCAGCCUCUUAUCUCAUCUCAGCCGUUUUCACAUUUCCCUCUCUUAAAAAAUUUCAUUCUCAAUUUCUCUGUUUCUCCUCAAAACCCUAACCCUAAAUCGGUUCAAGCAAUCAAGCUUAACGUCUCAGCUCUUAAUAGAUCAAAGUUAUGGACACCCAUCAACCCCUUGUACAACAACUUUCUUCUGGGAAUAUGAGAAGAUUCAGGAGAUUGUAACUUUAAAUACAUUUGUUUCUUUUUAAUUAUGGUUUGUAAUUUGUUAAGACUUUAUUUUGGUAUGUAAUAGUUAAUUAGGCAUUUAGACUUCUUAUA